CGGUACGGGUGAGUAACACGUGGGUAAUCUACCUCUUAGUGAGGAAUAACCCUGGGAAACCGGGGCUAAUACCGCAUAAGCCUGAGAAGGGAAAGCUUUUCUAUGAAAGUAGGGAGGCGCUGAGAGAGGAGCCCGCGGCCGAUUAGCUAGUUGGUGAGGUAAAAGCCCACCAAGGCAUAGAUCGGUAGCCGGCCUGAGAGGGCACACGGCCACACUGGCACUGAGACACGGGCCAG
rnacentral:rRNA from 1 species